rnacentral:rRNA from 1 species
CUUGAAACACGGACCAAGGAGUUUAUCGUGUACGCAAGUCAUUGGGUGAAUAAAACCCAAAGGCGAAAUGAAAGUAAAGAGUAGAGUCUAUAAUUGAGAAUUUAUUCUCUUUUAUUUCUCUCUUUAGGGAAGAUGAAAAUUAAAUUUAUAGUCUAUUUUAGAUUAUUUAUUUAUAUUUUUCGCAUUCCCAGGGCGCUUGUUUCACGCUUUGCGUGUCGAUGCGCACCCAGAGCGUACACGCUGAUACCCGAAAGAUGGUGAACUAUGCCUGGCCAGGACGAAGCCAGGGGAAACCCUGGUGGAGGUCCGCAGCGAUUCUGACGUGCAAAUCGAUCGUCGGAGCUGGGUAUAGGGGCGAAAGACCAAUCGAACCAUCUAGUAGCUGGUUCCCUCUGAAGUUUCCCUCAGGAUA